AUUGAACGCUGGCGGCAUGCCUUACACAUGCAAGUCGAACGGCAGCACGGGGCAACCUGGUGGCGAGUGGCGAACGGGUGAGUAAUGUAUCGGAACGUACCAUUCAGUGGGGGAUAACGUAGCGAAAGUUACGCUAAUACCGCAUAUUCUGUGAGCAGGAAAGCAGGGGAUCGCAAGACCUUGCGCUGAUUGAGCGGCCGAUAUCAGAUUAGCUAGUUGGUGAGGUAAAAGCUCACCAAGGCGACGAUCUGUAGCGGGUCUGAGAGGAUGAUCCGCCACACUGGAACUGAGACACGGUCCAGACUCCUACGGGAGGCAGCAGUGGGGAAUUUUGGACAAUGGGGGCAACCCUGAUCCAGCCAUGCCGCGUGAGUGAAGAAGGCCUUCGGGUUGUAAAGCUCUUUCGGCCGGGAAGAAAUCGCAUGGGUUAAUACCCUGUGUGGAUGACGGUACCGGAAUAAGAAGCACCGGCUAACUACGUG
rnacentral:rRNA from 1 species